UCUAUGUUUAAGAGGCACGUCACCUGACGA
rnacentral:piRNA from 1 species